GAUGAACGUUGGCGGUGUGCCUAAUACAUGCAAGUCGAACGGAGUUAAUAGCAAUAUUGACUUAGUGGCGAACGGGUGAGUAACGCGUUGGUGAUCUGCCUCGAAGUGUGGAAUAACGUUCCGAAAGGAUCGCUAAUACCGCAUGUGCUCUCGAUUUUUAGAAACUUGAGAGUAAAGGAUUUAUUCGCUUCGAGAGGAGCCUGCGUCCCAUCAGCUGGUUGGUAGGGUAACGGCCUACCAAGGCUAUGACGGGUAGGGGACCUGAGAGGGUGGCCCCCCACAAUGGAACUGAAACACGGUCCAUACACCUACGGGUGGCAGCAGUAGGGAAUAUUAGAAAUGGACGAAAGUCUGAUCUAGCAACACCGCGUGUGCGAAGAAGGCCUUCGGGUCGUAAAGCACUUUUUGGAAGGAAUAGGAAGGAAUGUACUUCCAGAAUAAGUCUCGGCUAACUACGUGCCAGCAGCCGCGGUAACACGUAGGAGGCAAACGUUAUCCGGAUUUACUGGGCGUAAAGCGCGUGUAGGUGGUACUGUAAGUAGGGCGUGAAAGCUCCCGGCUCAACUGGGAGAGGCCGUUCUAAACUGCAGAACUAGAGGAUGGUAGAGGGAGGUGGAAUUCCAGGUGUAGCGGUGGAAUGCGCAGAUAUCUGGAGGAACACCAGUGGCGAAGGCGGCCUCCUGGACCAUUCCUGACACUCAGACGCGAAAGCUAGGGUAGCAAACG
rnacentral:rRNA from 2 species